rnacentral:rRNA from 1 species
GAUGAACGCUAGCGGCAGGCCUAAUACAUGCAAGUCGGACGGUGUCUUCGGACAUAGUGGCGCACGGGUGCGUAACACGUAUGCAACCUACCUUACAUUGGGGGAUAGCCUUUCGAAAGGGAGAUUAAUACCGCAUAAGACAGUAGCUGGGCAUCCAGCAGCUGUUAAAGAUUUAUCGAUGUAAGCUGGGCAUGCGUCCAAUUAGCUAGUUGGUGAGGUAACGGCUCACCAAGGCAAUGAUUGGUAGGGGGAACUGAGAGGUCAAUCCCCCACACUGGCACUGAGAUACGGGCCAGACUCCUACGGGAGGCAGCAGUAGGGAAUAUUGGGCAAUGGACGCAAGUCUGACCUAGCCAUGCCGCGUGCAGGAUGAAGGCGUUAUGCGUUGUAAACUGCUUUUAUACAGGAAGAAACGACUCUUGCGAGAGGCAUUGACGGUACUGUAUGAAUAAGCACCGGCUAACUCCGUGCCAGCCGCCGCAGUAACAC